AGUGGUAAAAUAUGACAUAUUAAAAUUAUAAAAGAAUUGAUAAUAUAUAGACUAUUGUGAGACAAGGGAAGCUCUUGCCAAUAAUAAUAGCCUAUUAGUGCUAACCAUACUACUACUGACUUAAAUAUUUUCUUGCUUUUUUUAUCACCUCCAACAUAAAAAACUCACAAAUGGGCCAAACAGAUAAAAAGAGAACCAAACGAGGACAUCUGGGGAUUCAGAGGCUUACAGCAGUCAUUUAUGAUGACAGGUUGACCUCACAAGGUUGAUGAUAAAAGAUGAAUGCACCUCAUUAUUUUUACUGAAGCAGCAUCUGUGACUGAGAUUCACAGGUUGAAAUCUUCCACAGCAACACACAAUUAACUUGGAAAAAUCCAGGCGUCUCCACAGUUUUAUUGCACUUAGAAUGUACUCAUUUACUGGCUUUUAAUCUGUGACAGACAGUGCUACUAAAAAGCUAUGGAAGGUAAUGACAUAUUAAUUUUCAGAUUGUAAAUUCAUGGAAACUACUAAGAAUUUGGACAGCUGCUCUAUUUAAAUGCUUUUUUUUGUAAUUCCGAGAAUCUCACCGUUUACCAUUAAUAUCAUCCCUUAAGGCACCUUUCUGUUUAAACAGUGGUAGAAAUUGCUUUGACGUAAUGGAAACGGCGUUGUUUACAGCCUAUAGGAAAGGCAAGCAAGUGCUAAGAUAAACAGAAAGCACAAAUGGCACCUUCUCACAUUGAUAUUAUUACAUAAAUGGAACCUUCAACUGGAGAAGAGAGAUCAAUACUGGCUGGAAAUAUCAACAUGUGAGUUUGGGCAUAAUAGCAGUGGUGAAAGGUGCUUACUUAUCUGAAAUCUAUAUUUCCAUCUCAUCAUUGACAUUAAGCCUGACAUGGCACCAGAAAAAGGAAAUGCUCAUUGAAAACAAAUGACAACACAAAGCAAAUGUGGAAAGUGGGGAUGCUGCAGUAUAUCUAAAUAUUUGAACUUCUGUGCCAGAUCAAACUGAAGCCAGAUGCCAGCUGGAAAUGACCAAAUGUUCGAGGUUAUUCCCUGAGAUUUAGUGCAGCCCUUUUGGGAUUUUUUAAAAAUGAAUUCAUUGCAUUCAAGCAAGGUAGACCUUAAAAAGACAAGUGAGUUUCCAUUUUAACCGUCUUCUGUCAGAACCAGGUUUGUGUUUCCUGCAGGAAUAUUCAGCUUAAGAUGCUUUGCAGCAUUGAAACCAGCCAAUACGUUCAGUCAGUUUAGUCUGUUUACUAGUCAAUUUCCAUUCAUGAGCCUCUUUUAGAUAGUUGCUGCAGAAUUAACUUAAAUGCCUAAUAAAACAAAAAUGGAGGCAGACCAGGAGAUGUAUUAAUACUUUUUCUUACUGAAUCUGCACAUUUGACCUCUUGGUCACAAUCAUGACUGCUGCUUAAGUAGGAUUUUUAAUCCCCUUUUAAAGGGUUAUUUCGCCCAAAAAUGACAAUUCUAUCAUCGUUGACUUGCCCUCAUGUUGUUCCAAAACCUGUAUGACUGUAUGUUAGCAAUAGCAUUGGCUCCUUUAAUUUUAGUCUCCCUAGUUUUUAAUCAAGUUACUGCAUAAUUUAGCUUUUUUUUUUAUGAAAAGCAGCAGAUAAAAACCACCCCGUCACUGGGACAUUGUGAAAAACUGCUGCGCCUACACCCAUCAAAACAAAGCCCUCAACAAUGUUGAAAACUCAAAAUGCAGCAAAUUUGGGCAGAAAUCCUUGUAAACCAUGCCAAAGGACAAGGGGCUCUCUUAUAUACUUCACUAGCCUUAUUAGUGGACUUGAGAGCUCUUUGCAUAGUACGCUUCAAUCACUGCAUCAUGAAGCCUUGUUGUAGAGCGAGAGGUGAAAGGCAGACAUGCAUGAGAGAGACUUUCUCACUUUUUGACCUUCCUGAGCUGGAACAAGGACUGUUAUGAAAACCCUCAAAGACAGAUUCAGCUGACAGUAACAUGGAUAAGGUUUAGUGAACUCAUUUCAUGGCUCUUUGGAAUACUUGAGUCUGAAUGGUCAAUUACAGCAGUGGGUGAUGAUAUAUUUUGUAAAAUGAACUGUCUAAUUUUAAUGUUCAUUCUUUGUUCACUCUCUUUUCAUACACACAACCAUGGCACUUUCAAAACAGUAGUAAAAAUGUUCACUAAAAUGAAAGCAACUUGACUGCAGAUUACUUGGCUAAUAGGCCUAAUAUAUAUAUAUCUAAAAUAUUGUUGCAAUUUUGCUAGGCAGAUUUUUGAUGUUGUAAUGCACUAUUGAAGCACAUUACUUAAAGUUGGUGUAUUUUAUUUAAUUAGUAACUAGCUGUGUAUUAAAUUUGAUAAUGCAGCCUACAGUAAAGGCCCAUUCACACCAAUAACUAUAAUGUCGCUUAUACACUAUACGGCUUUCAAAGUCAUCAAACAGCUGUUCUUUUCACAUUACACAAUACAGGCCUACCGAUCGUUACUCAUGGAUUGCCUCUUAUUUGGGCUUUUGUUGGCCAAACAGCAUGUACUAUGAUAAUAACACAGGAACAAACCCAUUGGAAUCACUUUCAGACUGUUUCUUCCAGCUGAUAAACACAUUAAUAGAUGAUCAAAAUCCAUCUAACUUUAAGAACUCAAGCACUUAAAGCAGACAACGACAAAACUGCAGUUUAUAAUUAACAUAAUAUGCACUGGUGUGGAUUCUAAUACAGUUGUCUUUGUUAUCUUUCUAGGUGUAAAUGUGCCAAGUUGGAUACUACCAGGAUCUCAACAAGUAACAGCUUCCCUUUACAUGAAGCCUCUGCAGAGCAAGGUUAGUUAGAAGAAGAUGUGUGCGGAGGAGAAAGAGAAAAAGAGAGACUGUAGGUUAAAGAAAAAAACUAUUUUUUCACUAAUUCCCCCAUGAAAGUGAUUUAAAGUGAGCUGGGAGGGAAUGCCUAUGGAUACAACUCCUCAUAUAUAUCAAGUUGCUGCUUGUUUACAGUGAAACUCAAUCCUUGAUUCUUUUGAAUAAAGCUCUGUUUACAUAUUAUAACAGGACAGUAUGAGAAAGCAGCUCACAGCAGGAAGAGGAAGUGAGACGGAAGUAACCUGGACCAGCUGGGCCUUCGCAGCCGUCUAAACAGCAUGUGAUUCCUCACAAUAAUGAUCAAAACUAGAUGAGAGGACAGAUGACAGAAAGUGAUACAGAUCCAGAGGGCCACGAUUGCUAAAACAUAGCAACUAGAUGAGGAUUUUGCAUUGGAAAACAUAAUCUCAAUGGAGUUAUGAUAUUUAUAAAAACAUAUGUAUUAAUGCUGGUCUAGUUACAGUAUCAUUUGUGCGUUUUUCCCUAUUCAAGUAUGCACUAUCAUUCAAAAGUUUGGGAUUGGGAAGAUUUUUAAUGUUUUUAAAGAAGCCUCUUCUG
ensembl:lncRNA